UACGAAGGGAGCUAGCGUUGUUCGGAAUUACUGGGCGUAAAGCGCAUGCAGGCGGAUCGUUAAGUCGGGGGUGAAAUCCCAGGGCUCAACCCUGGAACUGCCUUCGAUACUGGCGAUCUUGAGUCCGGGAGAGGUGAGUGGAACUCCGAGUGUAGAGGUGAAAUUCGUAGAUAUUCGGAAGAACACCAGUGGCGAAGGCGGCUCACUGGCCCGGUACUGACGCUGAGAUGCGACAGCGUGGGGAGCAAACAGG
rnacentral:rRNA from 1 species